UUGUAAAGAUGAGACACCCUACUUCAGUUCCUCACUUUCUAGAAUCUGCAGCUCUUUGCAACACAAAUUUUGGCAAUGGAGAGCACUUGGUGAAAGCCCCAGAAGAGCCAUGAGGACUGUGCUGCGAGUACCCAUGAUGUAUAUUGCCACUGAAUUUCAUGUAUAAAUCUGACAUUUGCUUGUAAAUAUGCCAUCAGUGGACUUGAAAGUACCUAAUCAAGAACUGGAACCGCAGAAGAUGGUAAAAGAGCUGAAGGUAUGGAGAAUUGUUAUGGAUUUCAUGCAUCUUGCCAGACAUUUUUGAAGUGAAAAGGCAGCUACACCAGUUUGCCCAAGGCACCCGGGAGGCUCAGGGGCAUCCUCUUCUAACAGCUGCUCUAUUUCUGCACUUCAGUCAUAUCCGCAUGAUGGCAGAAGAGAACAGACAGUUGCAGACACAACCUGACAGCCGGACUUAAGCAGCAAGUUAACUUCUGAUAUUUUUGUAAAGUACUUUCUAUAUUUAUCUAUUAAAAUAU